GCUGGUGUGGCUCAGUGGAUAGAGCGUCGGCCUGCGGGCUGAAGGGUGCCGGGUUCUAUUCUGGUCAAGGGCA
rnacentral:tRNA from 1 species